rnacentral:rRNA from 1 species
CGAGUGAGCGGCAAAAGCUCAAAUUUGAAAUCUAGCACCUUCGGUGUUCGAGUUGUAAUUUGAAGAUGGUAACCUUGGGUUUGGCUCUUGUCUAUGUUCCUUGGAACAGGACGUCAUAGAGGGUGAGAAUCCCGUCUGAUGAGAUGCCCAUUCCUAUGUAAGGUGCUAUCGAAGAG